AACGAACGCUGGCGGCAGGCCUAACACAUGCAAGUCGAGCGCGCCCUUCGGGGUGAUCGGCGGACGGGUGAGUAACGCGUGGGAACGUUCCCUUUUCUACGGAAUAGCUUCGGGAAACUGAGAGUAAUACCGUAUACGCCCUUUGGGGGAAGGAUUUAUCGGAAAAGGAUCUGCCCGCGUUGGAUUAGGUAGUUGUUGGGGUAAUGGCCUACCAAGCCGACGAUCCAUAGCUGGUUUGAGAGGAUGGUCAGCCACACUGAGACGGAGACACGGCCCAGACUCCUACGGGAGGCAGCAGUGGGGAAUCGUAGAACAUGGGGGGAACGAUGAACGAGCCAGGACGCGAGAGCGAUGAAGGCCGUAGGGUUGUAAAGCUCAUGCAGCUGGGAAGAUAAUGACGGUACCAGCAGAAGAAGCCACGGCUAACUCCGUG
rnacentral:rRNA from 1 species